AGUCGAACGCAGCACGGGCUUCGGCCUGGUGGCGAGUGGCGAACGGGUGAGUAAUACAUCGGAACGUACCCAGAAGUGGGGGAUAACGUAGCGAAAGUUACGCUAAUACCGCAUACGUUCUACGGAAGAAAGUGGGGGAUCGCAAGACCUCAUGCUUUUGGAGCGGCCGAUGUCUGAUUAGCUAGUUGGUGAGGUAAAGGCUCACCAAGGCGACGAUCAGUAGCUGGUCUGAGAGGACGACCAGCCACACUGGAACUGAGACACGGUCCAGACUCCUACGGGAGGCAGCAGUGGGGAAUUUUGGACAAUGGGCGCAAGCCUGAUCCAGCAAUGCCGCGUGAGUGAAGAAGGCCUUCGGGUUGUAAAGCUCUUUUUCAGGGAAGAAACGGCUGGGGCUAAUAUCCUUUGCUAAUGACGG
rnacentral:rRNA from 1 species